UACAGAGGGUGCGAGCGUUGUCCGGAAUCACUGGGCGUAAAGGGCGCGUAGGCGGCUUGAUAAGCGUGCGGUGAAAGCCCGGGGCUCAACCCCGGGUCGGCCGUGCGAACUGUCGAGCUGGAGCACUGUAGAGGCAGGUGGAAUUCCGAGUGUAGCGGUGGAAUGCGUAGAGAUCCGGAAGAACACCGGUGGCGAAGGCGGCCUGCUGGGCAGUGGCUGACGCUGAGGCGCGACAGCGUGGGGAGCAAACAGG
rnacentral:rRNA from 1 species